ensembl:misc_RNA 7SK 7SK RNA
AGAUGUGAGGGCGAUCUGGCUGUGACAUCUGUCACUCCCUGAUCACCAGGGUUGAUUCUGCUGGUCUGGCUCGUUAGAUGAGUGCUCCCUUCCUCCCUCACUGAUCCACAUCAUGUGUGUCCCUCCCAAAGCUGCAAGCUCGGUUGAAAAGGAAAGCCUUCCCUGAAUGGAGGUGAACCAGUCUUCGGUUGAGAGUAGCGGCACUCAAUCUGCUAGAACCUUCGACCAAGCUCUCAAGAAGAACACAUUCAACUGAUUCUGUUUUAGAAAUGUCAGGGGAAAAAAAAAACCUUGCAUGUGGGGUAGGGGAGCUAUCGCAGCAU